GUUGAAACACCAAUUCCCGCUUGAUCACCGAAGUUAAGAAACGCUGAGCCUGGUCAGUACCUAGAUGGGUGAACGAUUGCAAAUACCGGGUGUUGUAAG